rnacentral:tRNA from 4 species
UCGUUAGCUCAGUCGGUAGAGCAGUUGGCUUUUAACCAAUUGGUCGUAGGUUCGAAUCCUACACGAC